rnacentral:RNase_P_RNA from 1 species
ACCUGGAGAGUGGGCAACCGCCGGGAUGCCUUCACAGGUGUCCGGGAGGAAAGUCCGGUCUCCUUAGGGCAGCGUGCCGGCUAACGGCCGGGGGGGCUCGCUCAAAGCGGGUUUCACGGAAAGUGCCACAGAAAAUAUACCGCCUGCCGCCUCGCGCGGCCGGUAAGGGUGAAAUGGUGCGGUAAGAGCGCACCGCGUGCGGAGCAAUUCGCACGGCAGGGCAAACCCCACGUGGAGCAAGACCAAAUAGGGGAGGACAUGCAAGCAGUGGAAACAUUGCGGGCGUGACGGCGUGGCCCGCACCGUUAAACUUCCGGGUAGGUCGCAGGAGCCGGCCAGUAAUGGCCGGCCUAGAGGAAUGGUUGCCGCCCGCCUUAAGCGGGUACAGAAACCGGCUUACAGCUCCCAGGUUCUU